rnacentral:rRNA from 1 species
GACGAACGCUGGCGGCGUGCUUAACACAUGCAAGUCGAGCGGUAAGGCUCCUUCGGGAGUACACGAGCGGCGAACGGGUGAGUAACACGUGAGCAACCUGCCCUUCUCAUCGGAAUAAGCGUUGGAAACGACGUCUAAUGCCGAAUAUGACAACGGAUCGCAUGAUCUGUUGUGGAAAGCUCCGGCGGAGAAGGAUGGGCUCGCGGCCUAUCAGCUUGUUGGUGGGGUAACGGCCCACCAAGGCGACGACGGGUAGCCGGCCUGAGAGGGUGACCGGCCACCCUGGGACUGAGACACGGCCCGGACUCCUACGGGAGGCAGCAGUGGGGAAUAUUGGACAAUGGGCGCAAGCCUGAUCCAGCAACGCCGCGUGAGGGAUGACGGCCUUCGGGUUGUAAACCUCUUUCAGCAGGGACGAAGCGAAAGUGACGGUACCUGCAGAAGAAGGACCGGCCAACUACGUGCCAGCAGCCGCCGUAAGAC